GCGAGGCUUCUCCCGCUUCGCUAGUCGCUACUGCUCCUCUCUCCCACAAGUGGAGUUCUAUCCAUGCUUCUUUGCACUCUGCUACAAUUAGCAAAGCACCAGUCAUUAUACCAGUACUAGUAGUACUUUUUGACCUCCUUUUUACUGGCAUUUUCUUCUUCUUCCUCUCUCUCUCUUUUAAUACUAGUUUCAGAAUCUUCUUCUCAUGUCCAAAUGAUGUAAAAGUUAGGCAUUUGAGAUUGGAGAAAUCAUCCGGUCGGAAAACGACGGUAUGGGUGCAGCUUCAUUGUCCGAGACAGUAAAUUUGAGGGCUUCUUUGCUGAAUCAACCCACUCCCGUAGUUUCAUCUGGGGUGCAUUGUGCCGCAUAUCUUAUCUUGUACUUAAUAAGAGAAAUAUUUAUCCUGUGAACAGAAACAGGAAAACAUGUUAUUCAGAUGGUUUGCAGCGUAAGCUAAGGACUACUCCUCUCUCGAGAACGGGUGCUUCAAGAGGGACUUCUGCUGAUGUUCUAGAUGAUAGCGAUGGCGAUGCAUCGGG